CGUAGGUGAACCUGCGGAAGGAUCAUUAACAAAUCCACUGCCGUCGCACAGCGAUGGUAAUCACCGUGCACUGGUCGUCGAGGGAGGAGAACUCCACUCGGUUCAAGGAGGUGUGCUGCCGGCGUUGACUCGGGUGCAGCACUCAAAUCAGGGGACAUCUCCCGUGUGGCCGUCCCCUGGGCCUCGAACCGAGUUCUCCUCCUUUUGACUUUAACUUUUUUUUGACUCUGUGAACUGUGUUGGUCUGAUUUGUGAAUUGUUGGUUGAAAAUGUUGACAACUUCCGACGGUGGAUCUCUUGGCUCGUGCAUCGAUGAAGAACGCAGCAAGCUGCGAUACGUAGUGUGAAUUGCAGAAUUCAGUGAAUCAUCGAGUCUUUGAACGCAAAUGGCGCUCCCGGGGUCUCCUCGGGAGCAGGUCUGUCCGAGCGUCUGCCAACCUAAAGUCCUUGCUGAAUGCAAGGAGAUUGGGGAACUGUGGUGCGCGCCAUUCGUCGUGCACCGCACUCCCUGAAGAUUGCAGGACCGGUUUGGUUGCCAACCGUAGGAGUCGGUCGGUGACAACGGUGCACAGUGUUGUCACGCCGUGCCCCAUACGUGUGGCCCUGCCGGUGGCAUGCCAUCAGGUGACG
rnacentral:misc_RNA from 1 species